CUCCACCACCCCUCUCCCCCCUCAUUUUCAGUAUGGAUGUAUCAUGUGUUAUAGACUUUCUACUUUUAUAUGUUUUACACUUUUCUGCAGCUUCCGACGCGGCUUAUAGCACUGGCGAUGCCUCCCAGGAAGCGGGCAUUUCAUGUGACUCUGGGUGCUGCUGUGCUUGCGCGACAUACUGGGGAGCAGAUUGGAGAAGGGGGUUUUAUUGGAGGUAUGUUUCCUCCUGCCACUGGGGGUCCUUUGACUAAGUGGGACUUUAGGGACUCCGGGAGGGUCGUGGGGCACAUA